UUUAACGUCACUAACUCAGAUUCUGUACAGUGUUAAACUCUAAUCGAGUUCUAAUUUUUUUCAGAAUCUUUGACUCAAAAAUGAAAACUUUACUAAUUGUUUUUCUCGCUUUAGUAGCAACAUCACUUGCUGCCCCGAAAGAAAUCUACCCGAAAAUUUGGCAGAAGCUGGGAAAGAUUUAAUAAGCGACGGUAAUUUGGAACGAUCGCUUGGAAAUGGCGAUGUUGUGGACGCCCUAAAGGUUGCAGAUUUAGAUUUGCAACAAGAAAAUGGGUGUGGCUGCUGGCGAGGAUAAACUUGUUGGAAUAUUAGGCAAAAGAUUGGAUCAGUUAAGAUUUCAAAAAUUAAUAUUAUUCGACUUGCGCUUAUCUUCCACAAACAAAUCAAAUAUAAGUUUGCCAACUUUUUAAUCUGGGAACACAAUUCGACUUAAUGCUUAAAAUGAAUUAAUCGCGUAAAAGUUUUAUGAAUAAAUUUGAAAUGAUGGGCAUACAAA